CUGUCGGAUAGGUGCUUGCAAUUUAACUUACACGACAAUGUAAACAUUAUUUGCCUGAGUCGGAUAGGACUUUUAAUAUUUUCUACGAUUAUUUACCAUUAUUUUUACGAUUAUUUACCAAAGUAGUGCUAGAAUCUUGUUGUAGGCUGAUAAACUAGAGUUCAGAAUCUGGUGAACUGGUUUUGAGGACAAAUCAGCAACGGCGAGAACAGAGAAACAGAGUCGAUCUCGCUAGCCGGAACGAGGAGCCCAAGAACGAUAACUCUCCAAGCUGGGGACUUCCGGGGACUGGGAACAGCCGUUGGUGUCCUGAAGGCGGUUCGUUGUGGCUUUCCGCAAUGCGUCCAGUGGGUGGAGGACGCCAACCAGCUGAGGAGGGAGGCAUUCGGUGUUAGCCAGCGGCUCAAGCGGUGAAUUGUGCAAGAGAUUGCCAACGGGUACGGAGUUUAUCCGCCGCACUGCAAGAAAAAGUAAACCAUCCUGCCCGAUCCGGUGUUGCUGGACGUGGAGAAGCGCACCCCGGCAAAGCGAACGGCCGAGGGCAAACCAAAGAAAAGGGAGAUUUAAGAUUUUGCUGUUUCCUGUUUAAUUUUCACGAUAUUUGAUUAUUUAGGUGGAUGGUUCCCGUGGAAGUUAAAAAAUACCACUUUUUUAGUUUUCUGUUCUGAUUUUAAAUAAAAAUUUGAAGAUUUUGCUCCAAUUUAAAUAAUGUUUGGCUUCUUGAUUUUUAUU
rnacentral:lncRNA from 1 species